rnacentral:rRNA from 1 species
UACGUAGGGGGCUAGCGUUGUCCGGAAUCAUUGGGCGUAAAGAGCGUGUAGGCGGCCCGGUAAGUCCGCUGUGAAAGUCGGGGGCCUCAACCCUCGAAUGCCGGUGGAUACUGUCGGGCUAGAGUGCGGAAGAGGCGAGUGGAAUUCCUGGUGUAGCGGUGAAAUGCGCAGACUAUCAGGAGGAACACCAAUUGCGAAGGCAGCUCGCUGGGACGUAACUGACGCUGGAGACGCGAAAGCGUGGGGAGCAAACAGG